rnacentral:lncRNA from 1 species
GACAACCAGGAAGUGCAAGACUCUGACCCAACGCCCAUGCCUGCCAUCCCCAAACAUGGGCUCAAAACCCCCUUCCCAGGGACGGCUGUGUCCACCCCUCAGCAGGAGGAGGAGACCCCACAGCACCGGGUGAGAGGAUUAAGUGAGCCAGUCAUGCAUGGGCCGAGAACCAGGUUUGGCAUAUUGUAGCUGCUCAGUGGACGUUAGCUGUUAUGAUUGGACCACAACGUGCUUCCGUUUCAAUUCUGUGGGCCUUUUGGAGGUCCUGCUGGAUGCUAAGCACCGAAACCUCAACCCGGAACAAGACCAGAACAACCUGAGCAACAACAGGACCAGCGAUGGCUCUCCCUGCUGGAGGAUUCUGGAAGUCACCUGGCUGGACCAAGCCCUCUCCGUGUUCUCUGUCAGCCCACUCCCCAGAGCCGCUAGGCCUGAUGUGCACAAGCAGACUAAUAAAGGCUUGAGGACAAAAA